rnacentral:rRNA from 23 species
UGAGACCUCAGGUCAGGCGG